CCUUCCUCGUAGCUUCUAACUAGAAGAUAUUUUUACACUCUUUCAUCCCUUUUCAUGCUUAAACAUGUCAUGCUUAAAUAUUGUAUUAACAUGCACAUUGAACAACAACAGUGAGACUGCAAUGCUACCUUGCUUAAUUAUUAUUGCGUUUUGCCAUGUCUAACAUGUCCCGUCAAUUAGGUCGGCAACUGUGAAGCUAAGUCGCUUAGGGGGUCCGGUGUCAGAGAGAUGCACCCUGGUGGGUCUUUGGGCUAAUUAGCCCCCGAAUAUGCCCUUAUAAUAAUUGUGUUAUUU